rnacentral:rRNA from 1 species
GCAUGGUUCAAUAGUGAAAGACGGUUUCGGCUGUCACUUAUAGAUGGACCCGCGCCGUAUUAGCUAGUUGGUAAGGUAACGGCUUACCAAGGCGACGAUACGUAGCCGACCUGAGAGGGUGAUCGGCCACACUGGAACUGAGACACGGUCCAGACUCCUACGGGAGGCAGCAGUAGGGAAUCUUCCGCAAUGGGCGAAAGCCUGACGGAGCAACGCCGCGUGAGUGAUGAAGGUCUUCGGAUCGUAAAACUCUGUUGUUAGGGAAGAACAAAUUUGUUAGUAACUGAACAAGUCUUGACGGUACCUAACCAGAAAGCCACGGCUAACUACGUGCCAGCAGCCGCGGUAAUACGUAGGUGGCAAGCGUUAUCCGGAAUUAUUGGGCGUAAAGCGCGCGUAGGCGGUUUCUUAAGUCUGAUGUGAAAGCCCACGGCUCAACCGUGGAGGGUCAUUGGAAACUGGGAAACUUGAGUGCAGAAGAGGAGAGUGGAAUUCCAUGUGUAGCGGUGAAAUGCGCAGAGAUAUGGAGGAACACCAGUGGCGAAGGCGGCUCUCUGGUCUGUAACUGACGCUGAGGCUCGAAA